rnacentral:rRNA from 1 species
GACGAACGCUGGCGGCGUGCUUAACACAUGCAAGUCGAGCGAUGAAAGCCUUAUGAACUAUUCGUAGUGAUUGAGGCCGGAUUAGCGGCGGACGGGUGAGUAACGCGUGAGCAACCUGCCUUAAACAACGGGAUAGCCUCGGGAAACCGGGAUUAAUACCGUAUGAGACCCCGCCUUCACAUGAAGAAGAGGUUAAAGAUUUAUCGGUUUAAGAUGGGCUCGCGUCUGAUUAGCUAGUUGGUGAGAUAAAAGCCCACCAAGGCAACGAUCAGUAACCGGCUUGAGAGAGUGAACGGUCACAUUGGAACUGAGACACGGUCCAAACUCCUACGGGAGGCAGCAGUGGGGAAUAUUGCACAAUGGGGGAAACCCUGAUGCAGCGACGCCGCGUGAGCGAUGAAGGAAUUCGUUUCGUAAAGCUCUGUCCAAGGGGAAGAUAAUGACAGUACCCUUGGAGGAAGCCCCGGCUAAAUACGUGCCAGCCGCCGCCGUAA